rnacentral:lncRNA from 1 species
AUUUCAAUAUUAUAAAUCCCCCCCACAAUCCAUGGCCGAUGCGAGCAUGCCUCCCGAUAUAUUAUUUCGAUAACAAAUAAGCAUCUCAAAGCCAUAAAGUAAGACUGUGGCUGGGGGAACGAAGUCGUGGUACAGAUCCUUGACCCCGAGGAAAGCAUUGCUACUCAUGCGGAAGAGUUCUUAAGUGUUUACACUUAUCCAUUCGCACUGGUACUUCUACAAAUGAUAUCAAGUCACCCUCGGCCAAAUCCACCUCUUUCUAGCGUAUCGUGAUUAUGCUUCGUUACUUUUCUAGCAAGGUCGAGGAAUUACAGUUUACCCUCAAUCACCUCAUCCGAUCGCAUCGACCUGAUAUCUUUCGAGGGUUGAUCAAGAUCUGAUGUCGAUCAAGCAAAGCCGUCUUU